GAUGAACGCUGGCGGCGUGCCUAAUACAUGCAAGUCGAGCGAACGGACGAGAAGCUUGCUUUUCUGAUGUUAGCGGCGGACGGGUGAGUAACACGUGGAUAACCUACCUAUAAGACUGGGAUAACUUCGGGAAACCGGAGCUAAUACCGGAUAAUAUUUUGAACCGCAUGGUUCAAAAGUGAAAGACGGUCUUGCUGUCACUUAUAGAUGGAUCCGCGCUGCAUUAGCUAGUUGGUAAGGUAACGGCUUACCAAGGCAACGAUGCAUAGCCGACCUGAGAGGAGUGUCAGCCAAACUGGGACUGAGGCAACGGUCAGAACUCUAACGGGAGGCAGAAUGGGGGAUUUUGCACAAAUGGCGGAAACCUUAUACAACCAUACCGGGUGGAUUAAGGAGGGUAUUCGGUUGGAAAACCCUUUUUAUUGGAAAAAAAAAUAGCAGUUAGAAACCCCGCACAUCUGGCGGGACCCAAAUAAGAAAGACCGGCCAAACUACUG
rnacentral:rRNA from 1 species